UGAUGAUGUCACUGAGAACUGCCAUAUGCCUCCCUUCUGAACAGCUUUCCUUACAUUGACCAGAUUCAAGACACUGAGCCAUCAAUGUGGCAUCAUGCACCAGCUAAUAUGAGGCCUCUAAGACUGAAGUGCUGGUUCUGGACACAACAAGAGAAGAUGCACUUAACAAUCAAGAGACUUGAGUCCCCAGGGAGUGGAGAGGUCUGAUAGACUGAGGGUGGAGUGAGAGACAGCUUCAUUCAGAUGGGCAUUAGGGGAGUAGGUAUGGGAUGUAGAACAGUCAGAGUAUGGGCUGGGAGAGAGAUGAAAUCUGGAUUGUAAAAUUCUACUAAAUAAAAUUCAAAAAAAGAAAUUAAACUAAAAUAAACACUUUCUUCC